AGUGAACGCUGGCGGUAGGCCUAACACAUGCAAGUCGAACGGCAGCACAGUAAGAGCUUGCUCUUACGGGUGGCGAGUGGCGGACGGGUGAGGAAUACAUCGGAAUCUACUUUUUCGUGGGGGAUAACGUAGGGAAACUUACGAUAAUACCGCAUACGACCUACGGGUGAAAGCAGGGGAUCUUCGGACCUUGCGCGAUUGAAUGAGCCGAUGUCGGAUUAGCUAGUUGGCGGGGUAAAGGCCCACCAAGGCGACGAUCCGUAGCUGGUCUGAGAGGAUGAUCAGCCACACUGGAACUGAGACACGGUCCAGACUCCUACGGGAGGCAGCAGUGGGGAAUAUUGGACAAUGGGCGCAAGCCUGAUCCAGCCAUGCCGCGUGGGUGAAGAAGGCCUUCGGGUUGUAAAGCCCUUUUGUUGGGAAAGAAAAGCAGCAGGUUAAUACCCCGCUGUUCUGACGGUACCCAAAGAAUAAGCACCGGCUAACUUCGUG
rnacentral:rRNA from 1 species